GCUGUAGCACCAUCUACUACUAAUAUAGCUAGCCAGGCUGUAGUACUAUCUACUACUAAUAUAGCUAGCCAGGCUGUAGCACCAUCUACUACAAAUAUAGCUAGCCAGGCUGUAGCACCAUCUACUACUAAUAUAGCUAGCCAGGCUGUAGUACCAACUACUACUAAUAUAGCUAGCCAGGCUGUAGCACCAUCUAUUACUAGUGUAGCUAGCCAGGCUGUAGCACCAUCUACUACUAAUAUAGCUAGCCAGGCUGUAGUACCAACUACUACUAAUAUAGCUAGCCAGGCUGUAGUACCAACUACCACUAAUAUAGCUAGCCAGGCUGUAGUACCAACUACUACUAAUAUAGCUAGCCUGGCUGUAGCACCAUCUACUACUAAUAUAGCUAGCCAGGCUGUAGCACCAUCUACUACUAGUGUAGCUAGCCAGGCUGUAGCACCGUCUACUACUAAUAUAACUAGCCAUGCUGUAGUACCAACUACUACUAGUGGUGUAGCUAGCCAGGCUGUAGUACCAACUACUACUGCUGGUGUAGCUAGCCAGGCUGUAGAACCAACUAUUACUACUGGUGUAGCUAGCCUGGCUGUUGUACCAACUACUACUGAUGUAGCUAGCCAGGCUGUUGUACCAACUACUACUGGUUUAGCUAGCCAGGCUGUAGUACCAACUACUACUACUACUAGUGUAGCUAGCCAGGCUGUAGUACCAACUACUACUAUUGAUAUAGCUAGCCAGGCUGUAGUACCUACUAAUAAUGUAGCUAGCCAGGCUGUAGCACCAUCUACUACUAGUGUAGCUAGCCAGGCUGUAAUACCAACUACUACUAGUGUAGCUAGCCAGGCUGUAGUACCAACUACUACUACUGGUGUAGCUAGCCAGGCUAUAAUAUCAACUGCUACUACUACUAGUGUAGCUAGCCAGGCUGUAAUAUCAACUACUACUACUACUGGUGUAGCUAGCCAGGCUAUAGUACCAACUACUACUACUAGUGUAGCUAGCCAGGCUGUAGUACCAACUACUAUUGAUGUAGCUAGACAGGCUGUAGUACCUACUAAUAAUGUAGCUAGCCAGGCUGUAGUACCUACUAAUAAUGUAGCUAGCCAGGCUGUAGCACCAUCUACUACUAGUGUAGCUAGCCAGGCUGUAAUACCAACUGCUACUAGUGUAGCUAGCCAGGCUGUAGUACCAACUACUACUACUGGUGUAGCUAGCCAGGCUGUAAUAUCAACUACUACUACUGGUGUAGCUAGCCAGGCUGUAGAACCAACUAUUACUACUGGUGUAGCUAGCCUGGCUGUUGUACCAACUACUACUGAUGUAGCUAGCCAGGCUGUUGUACCAACUACUACUGGUUUAGCUAGCCAGGCUGUAGUACCAACUACUACUACUACUAGUGUAGCUAGCCAGGCUGUAGUACCAACUACUACUAUUGAUAUAGCUAGCCAGGCUGUAGUACCUACUAAUAAUGUAGCUAGCCAGGCUGUAGCACCAUCUACUACUAGUGUAGCUAGCCAGGCUGUAAUACCAACUACUACUAGUGUAGCUAGCCAGGCUGUAGUACCAACUACUACUACUGGUGUAGCUAGCCAGGCUAUAAUAUCAACUGCUACUACUACUAGUGUAGCUAGCCAGGCUGUAAUAUCAACUACUACUACUACUGGUGUAGCUAGCCAGGCUAUAGUACCAACUACUACUACUAGUGUAGCUAGCCAGGCUGUAGUACCAACUACUAUUGAUGUAGCUAGACAGGCUGUAGUACCUACUAAUAAUGUAGCUAGCCAGGCUGUAGUACCUACUAAUAAUGUAGCUAGCCAGGCUGUAGCACCAUCUACUACUAGUGUAGCUAGCCAGGCUGUAAUACCAACUGCUACUAGUGUAGCUAGCCAGGCUGUAGUACCAACUACUACUACUGGUGUAGCUAGCCAGGCUGUAAUAUCAACUACUACUACUGGUGUAGCUAGCCAGGCUAUCGUACCAACUACUACUACUAGUGUAGCUAGCCAGGCUGUAGCACCAUCUACUACUAGUGUAGCUAGCCAGGCUGUAGCACCAUCUACUACUAGUGUAGCUAGCCAGGCUGUAGCACCAUCAACCAGUAAUAUAGCUAGCCAGGCUGUAGCACCAUCUACUACUAGUGUAGCUAGCCAGGCUGUAGCACCAUCUACUACUAGUGUAGCUAGCCAGGCUGUAGCACCAUCUACUACUAGUGUAGCUAGCCAGGCUGUAAUACCAUCUACUACUAAUAUAGCUAGCCAGGCUGUAGCACCAAAUAUAGCUAGCCAGGCUGUAGCACCAUCUACUACUAGUGUAGCUUGCCAGGCUGUAGCACCAUCUACUACUAAUAUAGCUAGCCAGACUGUAAUACCAACUACUACUAUUAUAGCUAGCCAGGCUGUAGCACCAUCUACUACUAAUGUAGCUAGCCAGGCUGUAGCACCAUCUACUACUAGUGUAGCUAGCCAGGCUGUAGCACCAUCUACUACUAAUAUAGCUAGCCAGGCUGUAGCAUCAUCUACUACUAAUGUAGCUAGCCAGGCUGUAGCACCAUCUACUACUAGUGUAGCUAGCCAGGCUGUAGCACCAUCUACUACUAGUGUAGCUAGCCAGGCUGUAAUACCAUCUACUACUAGUGUAGCUAGCCAGGCUGUAAAAUCAUCUACUACUAGUGUAGCUAGCCAGGCUGUAGCACCAUCUACUACUAGUGUAGCUAGCCAGGCUGUAAUACCAUCUACUACUAAUAUAGCUAGCCAGGCUGUAGCACCAAAUAUAGCUAGCCAGGCUGUAGCACCAUCUACUACUAGUGUAGCUUGCCAGGCUGUAGCACCAUCUACUACUAAUAUAGCUAGCCAGACUGUAAUACCAACUACUACUAUUAUAGCUAGCCAGGCUGUAGCACCAUCUACUACUAUUAUAGCUAGCCAGGCUGUAGCACCAUCUACUACUAAUGUAGCUAGCCAGGCUGUAGCACCAUCUACUACUAGUGUAGCUAGCCAGGCUGUAGCACCAUCUACUACUAAUGUAGCUAGCCAGGCUGUAGCAUCAUCUACUACUAAUGUAGCUAGCCAGGCUGUAGCACCAUCUACUACUAGUGUAGCUAGCCAGACUGUAAUACCAACUACUACUAAUAUAGCUAGCCAGACUGUAAUACCAUCUACUACUAAUAUAGCUAGCCAGGCUGUAGCACCAUCUACUACUAAUAUAGCUAGCCAGGCUGUAGCACCAUCUACUACUAAUAUAGCUAGCCAGGCUGUAGCACCAUCUACUACUAAUAUAGCUAGCCAGGCUGUAGCACCAUCUACUACUAGUGUAGCUAGCCAGGCUGUAUCCCCCCCCCAGCACCAGUUCCUGUGUGAUGUAUCUAGCCAGGCUGUAUCCCCCCCAAGCACCAGUUCCUGUGUGAAUCUCAGUGUUUCGCGGUUUCUCCUCACGUCGUAUUGGAGAAGGACGGACGGUGAGGAAAUGGUCAGGCUCUGCUGCGUUCGUCCCCUAGGAACAGAUCUAGGAUCAGCUUCCCUGCCACCAAAUCCUUACCAUAACCAUUCACUUGGAGAUGAAGAACUGCGCCCAGAUCAGUGUUUUUGA
ensembl:lncRNA